rnacentral:tRNA from 1 species
GGUCUGUAGAUCAGCUGGUUAGAUCGCACCCCUGAUAAGGGUGAGGUCGGUGGUUCAAGUCCACCCAGACCCA